GAUGAACGCUGGCGGCGUGCCUAAUACAUGCAAGUCGAGCGAACGGACGAGAAGCUUGCUUCUCUGAUGUUAGCGGCGGACGGGUGAGUAACACGUGGAUAACCUACCUAUAAGACUGGGAUAACUUCGGGAAACCGGAGCUAAUACCGGAUAAUAUUUUGAACCGCAUGGUUCAAAAGUGAAAGACGGUCUUGCUGUCACUUAUAGAUGGAUCCGCGCUGCAUUAGCUAGUUGGUAAGGUAACGGCUUACCAAGGCAACGAUGCAUAGCCGACCUGAGAGGGUGAUCGGCCACACUGGAACUGAGACACGGUCCAGACUCCUACGGGAGGCAGCAGUAGGGAAUCUUCCGCAAUGGGCGAAAGCCUGACGGAGCAACGCCGCGUGAGUGAUGAAGGUCUUCGGAUCGUAAAACUCUGUUAUUAGGGAAGAACAUAUAUGUAAGUAACUGUGCACAUCUUGACGGUACCUAAUCAGAAAGCCACGGCUAACUACGUGCCAGCAGCCGCGGUAAUACGUAGGUGGCAAGCGUUAUCCGGAAUUAUUGGGCGUAAAGCGCGCGUAGGCGGUUUUUUAAGUCUGAUGUGAAAGCCCACGGCUCAACCGUGGAGGGUCAUUGGAAACUGGAAAACUUGAGUGCAGAAGAGGAAAGUGGAAUUCCAUGUGUAGCGGUGAAAUGCGCAGAGAUAUGGAGGAACACCAGUGGCGAAGGCGACUUUCUGGUCUGUAACUGACGCUGAUGUGCGAAAGCGUGGGGAUCAAACAGGAUUAGAUACCCUGGUAGUCCACGCCGUAAACGAUGAGUGCUAAGUGUUAGGGGGUUUCCGCCCCUUAGUGCUGCAGCUAACGCAUUAAGCACUCCGCCUGGGGAGUACGACCGCAAGGUUGAAACUCAAAGGAAUUGACGGGGACCCGCACAAGCGGUGGAGCAUGUGGUUUAAUUCGAAGCAACGCGAAGAACCUUACCAAAUCUUGACAUCCUUUGACAACUCUAGAGAUAGAGCUUUCCCCUUCGGGGGACAAAGUGACAGGUGGUGCAUGGUUGUCGUCAGCUCGUGUCGUGAGAUGUUGGGUUAAGUCCCGCAACGAGCGCAACCCUUAAGCUUAGUUGCCAUCAUUAAGUUGGGCACUCUAGGUUGACUGCCGGUGACAAACCGGAGGAAGGUGGGGAUGACGUCAAAUCAUCAUGCCCCUUAUGAUUUGGGCUACACACGUGCUACAAUGGACAAUACAAAGGGCAGCGAAACCGCGAGGUCAAGCAAAUCCCAUAAAGUUGUUCUCAGUUCGGAUUGUAGUCUGCAACUCGACUACAUGAAGCUGGAAUCGCUAGUAAUCGUAGAUCAGCAUGCUACGGUGAAUACGUUCCCGGGUCU
rnacentral:rRNA from 1 species